CCUGCCUAUUUUGUGGCUCAGGUUUAGCCUCUCAGUUUUAGUAAUAUCUGAGAGUGAUUUUGUUCUGUACAGUUCCCUGUUUGUUGAAAGUUAACUCUAUUCAAACAACAUGCUCCUGUGUGCGAGUCUGCUUCUUGGUCCUCCAACCUACCCUGUGUCAAGGAUUUAUUCUAGAAAGGAUUCACAGCACAAGCAUUUGCAUAAAUAUUCUACUCCUCUGGGUGAGACACUGAUAGAUAGAUACCAAUUCAAGCUGUUUCGGAAUGAAGUGGUGAUAAAAAGUGCUGAUGUUUCCAUUCUCACUGGUCAAUUCAUCACUGCAGCCUAAAGACUCUGUGCCUGCUGAGUUUGGCAAAGAAAGCUGGCCAAAUUAAAGAAACUCUAUUCCCCCUUCAUCUAAUUUUAGCCGAGAAUCCGUUACGAGAUUUGAGCUGUGAAUGAUGGCAAGAAGAAGUGAGAUGGAGCUGAAAAGACGAGGGGUGUGCACACGGAGGCUGAUAUCACCAGGACAAACAUUUCCCAUCCUGUCACCGCAGAGUGAGUCACGUGUUUUUAUUGUCAGGAUGCAACAUUUGCAAAGAAUGUAGGAGUGGUAGCGAGGGCAUCUGCAGGGAGCUUACCACAAGCAGCAGUUUCCUCCUAUGUCAGCUCAUUUGUCACCUAAUGUAGGGUCUUGUUGGUACUGUUUGUU